GAUGAACGCUGGCGGCGUGCCUAAUACAUGCAAGUCGAGCGAAUGGAUUAAGAGCUUGCUCUUAUGAAGUUAGCGGCGGACGGGUGAGUAACACGUGGGUAACCUGCCCAUAAGACUGGGAUAACUCCGGGAAACCGGGGCUAAUACCGGAUAACAUUUUGAACCGCAUGGUUCGAAAUUGAAAGGCGGCUUCGGCUGUCACUUAUGGAUGGACCCGCGUCGCAUUAGCUAGUUGGUGAGGUAACGGCUCACCAAGGCAACGAUGCGGAGCCGACCUGAGAGGGUGAUCGGCCACACUGGGACUGAGACACGGCCCAGACUCCUACGGGAGGCAGCAGUAGGGGAUCUUCCGCAAUGGACGAAAGUCUGACGGAGCAACGCCGCGUGAGUGAUGAAGGCUUUCGGGUCGUAAAACUCUGUUGUUAGGGAAGAACAAGUGCUAGUUGAAUAAGCUGGCACCUUGACGGUACCUAACCAGAAAGCCACGGCUAACUACGUGCCAGCCGCCGCGGUAA
rnacentral:rRNA from 1 species